CCAGGCCCUACGGGGUGCAGCAGGCGCGAAACCUCCGCAAUGUGAGAAAUCGCGACGGGGGGAUCCCAAGUGCCAUUCUUAACGGGAUGGCUUUUCAUUAGUGUAAAGAGCUUUUGGAAUAAGAGCUGGGCAAGACCGGUGCCAGCCGCCGCGGUAACACCGGCAGCUCUAGUGGUAGCAGUUUUUAUUGGGCCUAAAGCGUCCGUAGCCGGUUUAAUAAGUCUCUGGUGAAAUCCUGCAGCUUAACUGUGGGAAUUGCUGGAGAUACUAUUAGACUUGAGAUCGGGAGAGGUUAGAGGUACUCCCAGGGUAGAGGUGAAAUUCUGUAAUCCUGGGAGGACCGCCUGUUGCGAAGGCGUCUGACUGGAACGAUUCUGACGGUGAGGGACGAAAGCUAGGGGCGCGAACCGGAUUAGAUACCCGGGUAGUCCUAGCUGUAAACGAUGCGGACUUGGUGUUGGGGUGGCUUUGAGCUGUCCCAGUGCCGAAGGGAAGCUGUUAAGUCCGCCGCCUGGGAAGUACGGUCGCAAGACUGAAACUCAAAGGAAUUGGCGGGGGAGCACCACAACGCGUGGAGCCUGCGGUUUAAUUGGAGUCAACGCCGG
rnacentral:rRNA from 1 species